GCGGAAGUGGCGCAGCGGUAGCGCAUCUGCUUCCCAAGCAGAGGGUCGCGAGUUCGAAUCUCGUCUUCCGCUCCA
rnacentral:tRNA from 1 species